GAGGCGCAGGCCCAGGCUCCACUCCCCAGCUGUGAAAGGGAGCUCUACGGUGACUUUGAAGACUUGGAAACAGGACGUGCACAAGGGAAAAUCGGGCCCCGACACUCAGAAUGAAGAUAUAGAGAAACAAGGAAGAAAUUGACCCCGACGAAGAAGAAAGUGCCAAGAAAAAGCAUUUGGAUAAGAAGAGAAAAUUGAAGGAGAUGUUUGAUGCAGAAUAUGAUGAAGGAGAAAGCACAUAUUUUGAUGAUCUUAAAGGAGAAAUGCAGAAAGAAGCACAGCUGAAUCACGUAGAAUUUGAAGAUCAAGAUGAUGAAGCCAGAGUUCAGUAUGAGGGUUUUCGACCUGGGAUGUAUGUCCGUGUUGAGAUUGAAAAUGUUCCCUGUGAAUUUGUGCAGAACUUUGACCCCCAUUACCCCAUUAUCCUGGGUGGCUUGGGCAACAGUGAGGGAAAUGUUGGACACGUGCAGAUGCGUCUGAAGAAUCAUCGCUGGUAUAAGAAAAUCCUCAAGUCCCAAGAUCCAAUCAUAUUUUCUGUAGGGUGGAGGAGGUUUCAGACCAUCCUGCUCUAUUAUAUCGAAGACCACAAUGGAAGACAAAGGCUUCUAAAGUAUACGCCACAGCACAUCCAUUGUGGAGCAGCCUUUUGGGACCCUAUCACUCCACAGGGAACUGGUUUCUUGGCAAUACAGUCUGUCAGUGGCAUAAUGGCUGGAGUGCAGUGGCACGAUCUUGGCUCACUGAAACCUCUGCCUCCUGGGUUUAAGCGGUUCUCCUGCCUCGGCCUCCCGAGUAGCUGGGAUUACAGCCUGAUUUUCGGAUAGCUGCCACAGGAGUUGUCCUUGAUCUGGAUAAAUCCAUAAAAGUUGUGAAGAAAUUAAAGCUAACUGGUUUUCCAUAUAAAAUUUUCAAGAACACUUCAUUUAUUAAGGGAAUGUUUAAUUCUGCCUUGGAAGUGGCCAAAUUUGAAGAUGCUGUGAUUCGAACUGUCAGUGGGAUAAGGGGGCAGAUCAAGAGAGCACUCUGAGCUCCAGAAGGAGCUUUCCAGGAUAGCUUUGAGGAUAAGCUGCGGAUGAGCGAUAUUGUCUCCAUGCGAACUUGGUAUCCUGUUUCCAUCCCAGCCUUCUAUAACCCAGUAACAUCUUUGUUGAAACCAGUGGGUGAGAAAGACACCUGGUCAGGAAUGUGGACCACGGGCCAACUCAGGCUCGCCCAUGGUGUCAGACUAAAGACAAACAAGGACUCUCUGUAUAAGAACAUACAUAUGAUAGUUGAGAAAGACACAUAUUCUGAUCAUGAAGAAAUAAACACAAGUUAAAUAUGACUAAGCAGAAAGAUGGAAGGACCAGGAAUGGUGAUGCUAACUUGGAACCACGAUGCAGGCUCUAAACUCCUCUACAAUCAUCCUCCCUUGUGAGAAAAAUACAUAAGAUCUAAGGCACAUGAGAUGAUAUGCUUUCUGUUUGAGUUUCUCCUUUAUGUUACGCAUACUGAUAAAAUUGUUGAUGCCAGUUGAUCUGAAGGUCCCAGCAAGGAGCCGACUCACAGAAGAAUGCAGUUUUCACAUCAUGAUGAUUUAAUCUUCCUUGACCUG
rnacentral:lncRNA from 1 species